AGAGUUUGAUCCUGGCUCAGAUUGAACGCUGGCGGCAUGCCUUACACAUGCAAGUCGAACGGCAGCACGGGAGCAAUCCUGGUGGCGAGUGGCGAACGGGUGAGUAAUGUAUCGGAACGUACCUUUCAGUGGGGGAUAACAUAGCGAAAGUUACGCUAAUACCGCAUAUUCUGUGAGCAGGAAAGCAGGGGAUCGCAAGACCUUGCGCUGAUUGAGCGGCCGAUAUCAGAUUAGCUAGUUGGUGAGGUAAAGGCUCACCAAGGCGACGAUCUGUAGCGGGUCUGAGAGGAUGAUCCGCCACACUGGAACUGAGACACGGUCCAGACUCCUACGGGAGGCAGCAGUGGGGAAUUUUGGACAAUGGGCGCAAGCCUGAUCCAGCCAUGCCGCGUGAGUGAAGAAGGCCUUCGGGUUGUAAAGCUCUUUCGGCCGGGAAGAAAUCGCAUGGGUUAAUACCCUGUGCGGAUGACGGUACCGGCAUAA
rnacentral:rRNA from 1 species